rnacentral:rRNA from 1 species
AGGGCGCAGGGUGGAUGCCAUGGCACUGGACGCCGAAGAAAGACGUGGUAAGCUGCGAAAAGCCACGGGGAGCCGCAAGCAGGCUUUGAUCCGUGGAUGUCUGAAUGGGGAAACCCGGCGGGAGUUAUGUCCCGUCAUCCAUGAAUGAAUCCAUAGUUCAUGAGAAGGGCACCCGGGGAACUGAAACAUCUAAGUACCCGGAGGAAAAGAAAGAAACAUCGAUUUCGUCAGUAGCGGCGAGCGAAAGCGAAGGAGCCCAAACCAUCUGACUACGGUUGGAUGGGGUUGUGGGCCGGCAACGUGCAUGAUGAUGUCUAGGAGAAGAGCGUUGGAAAGCGCUUCCAGAGAGGGUAACAGGCCCGUAUCCGAAAGACUGAUUCAGCUAGCCGGUACCAGAGUACCACAGGACACGAGGAAUCCGGUGGGAAGCAGGGGGGACCACCCUCCAAGGCUAAAUACGAUCCAGUGACCGAUAGCGCAUAGUACCGUGAGGGAAAGGUGAAAAGAACCCCGGGAGGGGAGUGAAAAAGAACCUGAAACCCUGUGCUUACAAGCAGAGAGAGCACAAUUGAGUGUGAUCUCGUACUUUUUGUAGAACGGACCGGCGAGUUACGUUAUGCAGCGAGGUUAAGAACUGGAGGUUCGGAGCCGCAGCGAAAGCGAGUCUGAAGAGGGCGAUAGUUGCAUGACGUAGACCCGAAACCGGGUGACCUAUCCAUGGGCAGGUUGAAGUGGAAGUAAAAUUUCAUGGAGGACCGAACCAGACGUCUGUUGAAAAAGGCGGGGAUGACCUGUGGAUAGCGGAGAAAUUCCAAUCGAACCCGGAGAUAGCUGGUUCUCCUCGAAAUAGCUUUAGGGCUAGCCUCGCAUGAGUUUACCGGAGGUAGAGCACUGAAUGGUCUAGGGGGCCUCACCGCCUACCGAAACCUAUCAAACUGCGAAUGCCGGACAAAUGAUGUAUGGGAGUCAGGCCGCGAGAGAUAAGUUCCGCGGUCAAAAGGGGAACACCCCAGAUCGUCUGCUAAGGUCCCCAAGUGCGCGUUAAGUGGAAAAGGAUGUUGGAUUGCACAGACAACCAGGAUGUUGGCUUAGAAGCAGCCACACAUUCAAAGAGUGCGUAAUAGCUCACUGGUCGAGUGAUCCAGCGCCGAAAAUGUAACGGGGCUAAAACGCGACACCGAAGCAGCGGGAUGCGCAAGCAUCGGUAGAGGAGCAUUGUGUGAGGGCAGAAGCCAGAUCGGAAGGACUGGUGGACUUCACAGAAGAGAGAAUGCCGGUAUGAGUAGCGAGAGCCAUGCGAGAAACAUGGCCGUCGAAAGCCCAAGGUUUCCUGGGGAAGGUUCAUCCACCCAGGGUAAGUCGGGACCUAAGCCGAGGACUGAGGUCGUAGGCGAUGGACAGCAGGUAGAGAUUCCUGCACCACUUACGGUUGUUUGACGAUGCAGUGACACAGAAGGAUAGGAUGAGCGCGGUGAUGGUCAACCGCGUUGGGGACGAGAGCCCGAGAGGCAGUCAAGUACACCUCUCAUGAAGGGUCAGCGUUCACGGGACCGAAGAAUAGUAGGGAAGCAUCUGAUUUCACGCUGGCGAGAAAAGCUGCUAAGGAGAGCGUAAGUGCCCGUACCGGAAACCGACACAGGUGGGCGAGGAGAGAAUCCUGAGACGGACGGGAGAACUCUUGUUAAGGAACUCGGCAAAAUGACCCCGUAACUUCGGGAGAAGGGGUGCCUCGAAAGAGGCCGCAGAGAAUAGUCACAAGCGACUGUUUAGCAAAAACACAGGUAUCUGCGAAAGCGAGAGCUGACGUAUAGGUGCUGACGCCUGCCCGGUGCUGGAAGGUUAAGGGGAAGUGUUAGGGGAAACCCGAAGCAGAGAACCGAAGCCCCAGUAAACGGCGGCCGUAACUAUAACGGUCCUAAGGUAGCGAAAUUCCUUGUCGGGUAAGUUCCGACCCGCACGAAUGGCGUAACGACUUGUGAGCUGUCUCAACAGGAGGCCCGGUGAAAUUGAAGUAUGUGUGAAGAUGCACAUUACCCGCGACUGGACGGAAAGACCCCGUAGAGCUUUACUGUAACCUGACAUUGGAUCUUGAUAACGGAUGCACAGGAUAGGUGGGACGCUAAGAAGCGAGGACUUCGGUUUUCGUGGAGCGGCCGUUGGGAUACCACUCUUCUGUUAUUGAGAUUCUAACCUUCAGCCGUAAGCCGGCGAAGAGACAGUGUCAGGCGGACAGUUUGACUGGGGCGGUCGCCUCCGAAAGAGUAACGGAGGCGCCCAAAGGUACCCUCA